GUUUUGAGGAGCAUGUCAGCCUAUUGAGCCCUGAUGUGUGACAUAUUUUCUCUUUUAGAAAUGGCAUUAAUUGCGGGAGACAGGGAAGGAGCGUCAGAUCAGGAUUGCUGAAGGAGAGCUGAGAAUGAAACCACCAUUUAUACAGCACUCAGAAUGCUCCAGGCAGUGUAAUCUCAUUCCAUCUUCAUUCAUGACUCCAGACAGGCUUUCCCUUCCAGGUCUGGCCACCAAUGCUCCAGAUUUACAUUCUAUUUA
rnacentral:lncRNA from 1 species